AGCGCGGGCGGGGCGGGGCGGGGGGGCGGCUUCGGGCCCUGGGGCGGGGCGGAGGGGUCGCCGGAGCGCCUGCCUCUCGCGCCUGCGGACGCGGGCGAGGCAGCGAGCGGCGCGCGCAGCCGGGAACCCUUACUGGGCGAGCGCGCGGGGGCGGGCCGGCGGCGGACGAGCGAGCGCGAGAGCUCCUGCGCCCGGGCGCACGGCGGGAGCUGCGGCGACGGUGCUGUGGCUCGUCGGGAGCCGGGAGCCGCGACACACAAAGGCUGGGGGUCGGGGAGGGGAUGUGUGAGCAACCGGGGAGCCGGGAAAGGGGAAGCGAAAGCCGCGGGCGCGGCAGGUGACGGCGAAGGCGCGGUACCCGGGCCUGCCCUCCAGAGCCUGUCGGGCUGACCCCGGCUCGCCGCAGCCAUGGCUAUCGCCCACCUGGCCACCGAGUACGUGUUCUCGGACUUCUUGCUGAAGGAGCCCUCGGAGCCCAAGUUCAAGGGGCUGCGGCUGGAGCUGGCAGUGGAUAAGAUGGUCACGUGCAUCGCCGUGGGUCUGCCCCUGCUGCUCAUCUCGCUGGCCUUCGCGCAGGAAAUCUCGAUCGGUACCCAGAUAAGCUGUUUCUCCCCAAGCUCCUUCUCCUGGCGGCAGGCUGCCUUUGUGGAUUCCUACUGCUGGGCUGCUGUUCAGCAGGGCUCCCUGCAAGGUGAUUCCGGACGCCUUCCGCUGUGGCUGCAUAAGUUUUUCCCCUACAUCCUGCUGCUGGUGGCUAUCCUCCUGUACCUGCCCUCCCUGUUCUGGCGUUUUACAGCUGCCCCUCAUCUUUGCUCAGAUUUGAAGUUCAUCAUGGAAGAACUUGACAAAGUUUACAACCGCGCAAUUCAAGCUGCAAAGAGCAUGUGUGGUCAGGACGUGAGGGACGGUACCAGCCCAGAUCCAGGCCCUCAGGAAAACAUUGGGCAAAGCCUGUGGGAGAUCUCUGAGCGCCACUUCAAGUACCCGAUUGUGGAGCAGUACCUGAGGACAAAGAGGAGCUGUAGGAACUUGACCAUCAAGUACGUCAGCUGCCGGUUGCUGACACUCGCCAUUGUCCUGUCCGCGAGCACCUACCUGGGCUAUUACAUCAGCCUCUCGUCGCUGUCCGACGAGUUUGUCUGCAGCAUCAAGUCUGGGAUCCUGAGGAAUGACAGCACCAUCCCCGACCGCUUUCAGUGCAAGCUCAUCGCCGUCGGCGUCUUCCAGCUGCUCAGCCUCAUCAACCUCGUGGUUUACAUGCUACUGGCCCCCGUGGUCAUCUACACGCUCUUCGUUCCAUUCCGGCAGAAGACAGAUGUUCUCAGGGUGUAUGAGAUUCUGCCCACCUUCGAUGUCCUGCAUUUCAAGUCGGAGGCGUACAACGACCUGAGUCUCUACAACCUCUUCUUGGAGGAGAACGUAAGCGAGCUCAAGUCCUACAGGUGUCUAAAGGUCCUGGAGAAUAUUAAAAGCAGUGGCCAGGGCAUCGACCCAAUGGUCCUCCUGACCAACCUUGGCAUGAUCAAGAUGGAUGUCAUGGAUGGCAAGAAACCGGAGCCCAUGGAGAUGACGACAGAGGAGCCAGGGGACCCGAUGACGGAGCUCAAAGAUUCGAGCGCACCCAGUGAUAUUAAAGUAAAUAACGGAGAGACGAAUGCUCGGCAAAGACUUCUCGAUUCUUCUUGCUGAUUUUUUUUCCCCUUUACCUUGAGGUCCGUGGCCCUCUGCGACAUGGAAUUUGUAUCGGCUGUCAGGUUCCCCGCUGGUCCUUCUGAGUGUGCCUUACUGAGUCCCUAAGGAAAAUGACGGCCCCCAGAACGCUGUAGGAGCAUGGUUCAUGAACUUCUGAUGAGCAGCACCAUGGGGGUGAGCCAGCCCCAGCAAGUGUACGUGUGAGUCCCUCACCCGGAAGGUGGGAAGGCUCAUUCAGAGCAAGACUCAGAGCCCUGUUUGUGCCUCAAAGAAGCCCCUUUCUGGAAAGAUGUGCAGUAAGACUCAGUACCAGCAAGGACUUUGGGAGGCUUUUUGGAUUUGCUACAUAAAAUAAUGAUAACACCUGUCAGGAUACAGCUUUACUGGGAACCUCCUCUGUGCCCCUAACGACCGCUGCACGAGAGGAAACACUCACCGGCCAGCCGCAGACUUGCUGUUGGUGGUGUCGUCCUCUGGGGACAGUGCUGGCAUGGGUUCCUGUCCCCCAGGGCUCUGUGCACACCACUGCUCGUUGGCCACAGCAAACCGAAAUCAUGGCACUCCACCCUGGAAAAGUGGAAACCAGCAAUUCUCUAAGUCCUGUGCCAUGUAACCCUUUUGUCAUGGUUGGUGGGGCUGGAGUCCUUGCCUGCUCUUCCUUGUCCCUGUUGCGACAUGCUGAGCCCCCAAGGUCCUGAUGUCCCAGGCUCGUCAUGCUCGUCCCUGACUGUUGGACAGGACAAAUAAGGCCGUUCCCCAUCUUUGAGGAGUUUAGAGCCUUGUCAAAAGCAGCAGAGGCAGGUACAAAGGAGUAGCCAUAGUAAAGGCCCUUCCAGAAAGCUCCCAGCAGCUGUCUGUGUUCUCGGGAGACGCCAUCUUGUUUUCCUGUCUCCUGGAGCUGGUGGUUUUGAGAGUCCAGUUCUGGUUUUUCCCAGAGGCUCUUCAGCCACUGGUCCUGUGGUGUGAAGCUGGGACAGAACACGAACAGAGUGGUUUUGCACAGGAAGAGCUCCACUGGCCUUUUGCUCGUUACCAGUGGCCCUUCUCCACUGGCCUUCUGCAGGGGAGAGAGGAGGUCAAGCCUGCGGCGGCCAUGGAGUUACCCAUGAAUGACUGCUGUAGAGCUAAGAGGCCAAGGUGGAUGCCCGUCCUACAGUCCGGCGCAAGGAAAAGCGUUACCAGGAACGUGAACUCUUCCAUCCCCUGGGAGUUGCUGGCUUAAAGAACGACUUCUGAGGGUUCCCUUUCCAGAGGGUAAAGAGUCAUUCCUUGCUUUCUACAGAGGGACCGACGGAUCCUAACUGGGUACCCCAGGGCUACUGACUUCGUUUCCAGCUCGCAUCUUCCUAGAAAGGCACCAGCUGGGGCUGGAACCGAUCGUCCUGGGAGCAGCAUCCAGCCACCUGUUUGCUUUUCCCCCAGGACAGGCAGAGACUUCCAGUGUAGACCUUCUGCAAACUUCCAGGAAGUGACAAACCCCAAAAGGCACAGACCCUCUCUUGUGAUGCGCACACAACACUAAAUGCACCUCCAGGGGCUGUCCUCGGGUGUGCACACGGUGAGGGGCUGGAGACUAGUCCGCCCAGUGCACAGCGGAGGCCCCUUUGGCCUCCCAGAGAGCUGCUUCCAGCAACGUCUGCUCUGUGUCCACCUAGCGAAAUCGUGUUUGCACACUUCUGAGUGGGCUGUACCCUCUGAGGAGUGGGUCUCAUUGUUCAGAAUCCGGGUGAAGAGCCAGUUAAGGGGGCACGUGGAUGACGUUGGGGGCGGGGGGUGAGGGCCGCUGCCACUGACCCUGUUCUGCCUCUCCAGCAUGGAGAGCCCGUGAGCCUAACAAUCGGACAGUGCUUUGUCCUAUAUUGUGCUGUGAAAACGCUAGAAACUUCCAGCUGCCUGGGCUGUCUCACUGCAUGGUCGUGCUUCGUCUGUAGAAGCCAAGCCUGUGUCCUCUCCAAGAAUGAGCCAAGAUCGGGAGAUGGCUGGGCAGAUGCUCCCACGGUUGGAGUGUUGCACACUUUUUAAAAAUGUGUUCAUAUUGGUUUAUUUUGCUUAUUGUCAGUCCGAGAUCAAUAGAAUAUCUACGAGGAUGGGUGUUGUUGAUCUCGUGAUGUGAGCUAAACCAGUGGCUGGCCUGUAAUAGGCAUUCUGUAAAUAUUUGCUGAACAAACACACAGUUAUGAGAACUCCAGCUUGUUGGCAGCUGGCAUUUGAUUCGAAAAGGCACACAGUCCUCUACAGGAAAGGAGAGGAGAGACCCCCUCAGCCUCCUGUGGAGAGGGGAAUGUUUGUGUAAAAUGACUACAGCCCCACAAAUAAGCAGUGACGGUUCUUAGCUGCUUCUUGUGGCCGCUCUCCCAAGUUCAGUCCAAGUGCCGCGUUGCCCCGCCGUGAUUAGUGAAAUUGAAGUUUUGACGCUCCCGAUCUCCGUCAUUUCCCAGAACAGCCUCUUGAAAAGGAACGAUGAUCGAAUUGUGCAGUUAGCGUUGAUUGGGGUUUCAGAUGAGGGCGCGGAGAUGAAAUGGCCCUUCGGGACAGUCGUUGGCCGGGGCCCUAUUUUUCACAAGUAAUGUGAAGCCCCGAAAAAGGACUGGCAAAGAGGAUAGUGUGUCCUUUGUGGAGCAUAAGAUGUUAAUUCACCCUUGGUUUGUUCGCCCUGCUUGAAAUGAAAUGUGUUGUGUUUGGGGGCUCUCUUAGCUGCAAAAAACACUUCGUCACUUAAAGCAUGUGGUUUGAUCCGUGAUUGUUCUCCAAGUUUUUGAAAGUUAAUAUAGUUUCUCAUGUCGUGAGUGCUUUCCCCUCUCCCUCCCCCACCCCCCAGAGGAGGAAAAGCCUUGUAGAAUUCGACAGGGUCACAAGUGCUGCCUACAAAACCUGAUGCCACCCGUUCCUCUUUAACAAGUUGGCUUUUUUAAAAGCACCACUGUUACAGGCUCAUGGAGUUCUGUGGAGAGGUACUCGAGGCGUACUUUAAAUUCUUUUGAAUGACUAAACAUCUUCACAAACUUUUAAAGAAAAAUACAUGGGUUCUUUUCUGCUGUGUCAUUCGGGAAGGACGAUUGCUCGCUCUUCCACAAAGAUCAAAGGAUGACAGCGGAUCACUGUGUCAGAAAAUGACCCUUAAGAAAAGGACAAGAGUCUUGAAAACUCUGAGGUUCGGUGGUUCUCGCUAGGACGUUUUCGAUUUCCACAAGUCACCCGUCCAAGUUCUGCAUUCUGACUUCCCUUUAAGGAGGGAUCCAAGGCUGCCCCUGUCUGUAGAGAAUGUGGAAACAAUGUUUUCGUUCUGCACAGCUUGCAUCCACCCCAAUAAAACUUCUCUCACUAAUGAAAAA